rnacentral:rRNA from 1 species
AACGAACGUUAGCGGCGCGCUUAACACAUGCAAGUCGAACGAGAAAGGGCUUCGGCCCCGGUACAGUGGCGCACGGGUGAGUAACACGUGGGUAACCUUCCCUCGAGCGGGGGAUAACGUUCCGAAAGGAACGCUAAUACCGCAUAAGACCACGGGAUCGAAAGCGCCUGGGGUAAAAGUAGGCCUCUGAAUUCACGCCGACACUCGAGGAUGUGAGCGCGGCCCAUCAUGGUAGUUGGUAGGGUAACGGCCUACCAAGCCGAAGACGGGUAGCUGGUCUUAGAGAAUGAUCAGCCACACUGGAACUGAGACACGGUCCAGACUCCUACGGGAGGCAGCAGUGGGGAAUCUUGCGCAAUGGGCGAAAGCCUGACGCAGCGACGCCGCGUGGGUGAUGAAGGCCUUCGGGUUGUAAAGCUCUGUGGGGAGAGACGAAUAAGACGUGGCUAAUAUCCACGGCGAUGACGGUAUCUCCUUAGCAAGCACCGGCUAACUCUGUGCCAGCAGCCGCCGUAAAAC